GACGAACACUGGCGGCGUGCUUAACACAUGCAAGUCGAACGGAAAGGCCUGCUUUCCCUUGUGGAUUGCGGGUACUCGAGUGGCGAACGGGUGAGUAACACGUGAGUGAUCUGCCCCCAACUUGGGUAUAAGCCUGGGAAACUGGGUCUAAUUCCCGAUAGGACUGCAGGGUGGUGCCUGUGGUGGAAAACGAUUUUCUAGUGGUUGGGGAUGAGCUCGCGGCCUAUCAGCUUGUUGGUGGGGUAAUGGCCUACCAAGGCGGCGACGGGUAGCCGGCCUGAGAGGGUGGACGGCCACAUUGGGACUGAGAUACGGCCCAGACUCCUACGGGAGGCAGCAGUGGGGAAUAUUGCACAAUGGGCGGAAGCCUGAUGCAGCGACGCCGCGUGGGGGAUGACGGCCUUCGGGUUGUAAACUCCUUUCGACCGCGAGGAAGCCACCUGGUUGGAAGGGUGGUGACGGUAGUGGUAGAAGAAGCACCGGCUAACUACGUG
rnacentral:rRNA from 1 species